ACUGAACGCUGGCGGCAGGCCUAACACGUGCAAGUCGGACGGUAGCACAGAGGAGCUUGCUCCUCGGGUGACGAGUGGCGGACGGGUGAGUAAUGUCUGGGGAUCUGCCCGAUAGAGGGGGAUAACCACUGGAAACGGUGGCUAAUACCGCAUAACGUCGAAAGACCAAAGAGGGGGACCUUCGGGCCUCUCACUAUCGGAUGACCCCAGAUGGGAUUAGCUAAUAGGUGGGGUAAUGGCUCACCUAGGCGACGAUCCCUAGCUGGUCUGAGAGGAUGACCAGCCACACUGGAACUGAGACACGGUCCAGACUCCUACGGGAGGCAGCAGUGGGGAAUAUUGCACAAUGGGCGCAAGCCUGAUGCAGCCAUGCCGCGUGUAUGAAGAAGGCCUUCGGGUUGUAAAGUACUUUCAGCGGGGAGGAAGGCGAUGAGGUUAAUAACCGCAUCGAUUGACGUUACCCGCAGAAGAAGCACCGGCUAACUCCGUGCCAGCCGCCGCCGUAA
rnacentral:rRNA from 1 species